CAGCAAAAAGACAAGGCUGGCAGCGUCUGUGACAAGCAGGGGAGUUGGCAAUGGGCCUUUGGACCUCAAGGAGAAUGAUCCAACUUCAUCAUCAGUGAACACUGGCAGAGGUAUGCUUGAAAUUCUGAAUCCCUCCAACCACAUUGUGCUUAAUGUAACACUCAUUAAAUACUUAAUCUUAGACAUUCCCUUAUGUUAGAGUUUACGUAACACUGGUACCAUAUUACCAUUGUCCUUUCUGACACUGUGUGAAACCAAAUUGGUUCUCAAUUGUGUCCCUUCAGCUGAAUUUGAAGCCAGAUACAUCCAGGAGCACCAACUUGGUGAAGGAGGAUUUGGAUGCGUGUUUGCUGGCUAUCGUAAAGCAGACAAUUUACCGGUGGCCAUAAAACACAUUCCAAAAACCAAGAUUUUCUGGGAAAACAAGGCUGAGGAUGGGAAGAGUCUUUCAGUGGAGGUGGCUGUUAUGUUGGAACUCCAAGAUGGAAAAACUGGACAGCUGCUGAACUCGACAUCCGUGUCCUUGCUGGAUUGGUACAAUCUCCAGGAGGAACAAAUUCUGGUGCUUGAGCGACCAAUCCAUGCACAGGACCUCUUUCAGUUCAUUGAGGUCAAAUGGAGGUUGUGUAAAGGAGGGCAUGGCCAAGGUAAGAUGAUUGGGGGUCUUUAUAAGAGGGUAUUAAACCUUUCCAAUGCAGAUACUAAAUUGCCUGUAACCUUUUACUGUUUCUACCUUUGAAGGCCUCAGACAAGUUACCUGUAAUUCAUCUAUGCUGAAGAGGUGACUGAUUUGGGAGGGGACCCAAACCCCCCCCCCCCAAAAAAAGGAGGAGCCCCAGCAAGGUGGCCAUUAUUUUAGAGCCCUGGGAACAAAUUCUGUUGCUGAGGGGCCAAUCACUGUACAGGACCUCUUUCAGUAUAUUGAAGUUAUCAGAGUUUGCCUAAAGGAGGACCUGACAAAGGUAAGAUGCUCGUGAGUCUUUGAUCAUAUGUAUUAAGCAGUCAAACAGUCAAGAGACAGACCUGAGCAGAUCUUAUGGGAAGCACUGAACCAGCUCCUGAGUGGAGGAUAACAAGUCCAUUUCACUAUAGAUUCACUCCAAAGAUCAACCAGACUCUGCAGGAACCCAGCACCCAACCCUUCAUCUUGGAAGUUCAAGAACAAAGCACAGUUGGCAUAGCACAUGAAGGUUCAACUUUAAGGUUCUACUAUCAUUAUCAUCCGCUUGAUUACAAACCGUGUCAUCAGGGCACCACAACACCAUCGCUAUAGACAGAGCGGCCAGGGAAGCAGGGGAACAUAUCAAGGCCCUGAGUAAACUUGGUCAUCCCAGCUGGACAUUUGUCAAAUCUGGGAAGGCGCUUAAAGCACCAGGCAAUCCAGGAGAGAAGGACAACUGCUGCCCAAGCAAAAACCCCUAGUGAUCCCUAGUGUCAGGAGUAUCAGAACAGUUGAGACAUUUUUUUCUAAACACAAUGUCUUUGUGGCUUUUAAACUCCAAAACAAGCUACGCCAAAAAUUGGUCCACCCCAAGGAUCAGGUCCCCCGAUACAAACAGUAAUGUAGUGUACACUGUUAAGUGCCAAGAGGGUCGCCAUGAUUGGCAAAACCAAACAACCUCUGGCAAAGCAGAUGGCACAAGACAGAAAAGCUAACUUGUCAGGCCAAGACUCCGCUGUCUAUUUAGACAGAGGCCACUGGACAAUUCUUUUGAUGAGGAUGUAUACAUCAUGGACAGAAGAAUGCUGGUUUGAGCAAGGAGUCAAUGAGGCCGCUUAUGUGAAAAGGGAAAGACGAUCUCUGAAUCGAGGAGGGUGCCUAGGUACAUCUGUCAACAUCUUACAAUGCUGUGAUUGCAGCCAUUUAACUCUGAAUGGUACUCAUGGCCAUGAUCAAUGGUAUUUGAUCAAUGUCAUGACAAUUUGCAUGUUAAUGAUCAAGGAGCUGACCUCUCAGCCCACUGUUCAUUUAGUGGGCUAGUUGUACAAAUGUACUGUUUAUAAGGUUGGGGGAAGCCUUCAGUCAGCUGAGACUAAAGUCACUUAGAUGAGUGACGAAACAUUUCUCUCACUGAGAACGCCGUGUCCAGAUGAACAGAAUCAACCUGUUGGGAGUCAUUUAAGUGAACUUGCAUUGAAUGCAAGCCUUUCCCUUCACUAAGCCCUGCCAGCUGAGUUGGAGGCUCUUGUUUGACUUCCAUAGGUUUCACACUAGCCUGUCACAAGUUGGGUUGUGUGAGAAAUUGCAGACAUGGACUACAGGGACCAAAUACAUUUUCAUACUUAAAAAACUCACCUUAGUGGGCAAGUCUUUGGAUCAGUGUUUUGAUUUGCAUGCAUGCUUAUAAUUUGAUUCUUUAGUUUUAAAACAUAAGCCUUGGGAUUAUUAAAAUAUUCUAAUAUAAGGAGUAUCUAUGUUUAAUUCUACAAUAGUGUAUAAAUUUGAAUGUAAUAAAAUGGCCAAUAUGUCAACCAAUUUAUGAAAUUUAUAUUUCU